AAACAUCUAAGUACCCCGAGGAAAAGAAAUCAACCGAGAUUCCCCCAGUAGCGGCGAGCGAACGGGGAGGAGCCCAGAGCCUGAAUCAGUGUGUGUGUUAGUGGAAGCGUCUGGAAAGGCGCGCGAUACAGGGUGACAGCCCCGUACACAAAAAUGCACAUACUGUGAGCUCGAUGAGUAGGGCGGGACACGUGGUAUCCUGUCUGAAUAUGGGGGGACCAUCCUCCAAGGCUAAAUACUCCUGACUGACCGAUAGUGAACCAGUACCGUGAGGGAAAGGCGAAAAGAACCCCGGCGAGGGGAGUGAAAAAGAACCUGAAACCGUGUACGUACAAGCAGUGGGAGCCUCUUUUAUGGGGUGACUGCGUACCUUUUGUAUAAUGGGUCAGCGACUUAUAUUCUGUAGCAAGGUUAACCGAAUAGGGGAGCCGAAGGGAAACCGAGUCUUAACUGGGCGUUAAGUUGCAGGGUAUAGACCCGAAACCCGGUGAUCUAGCCAUGGGCAGGUUGAAGGUUGGGUAACACUAACUGGAGGACCGAACCGACUAAUGUUGAAAAAUUAGCGGAUGACUUGUGGCUGGGGGUGAAAGGCCAAUCAAACCGGGAGAUAGCUGGUUCUCCCCGAAAGCUAUUUAGGUAGCGCCUCGUGAAUUCAUCUCCGGGGGUAGAGCACUGUUUCGGCAAGGGGGUCAUCCCGACUUACCAACCCGAUGCAAACUGCGAAUACCGGAGAAUGUUAUCACGGGAGACACACGGCGGGUGCUAACGUCCGUCGUGAAGAGGGAAACAACCCAGACCGCCAGCUAAGGUCCCAAAGUCAUGGUUAAGUGGGAAACGAUGUGGGAAGGCCCAGACAGCCAGGAUGUUGGCUUAGAAGCAGCCAUCAUUUAAAGAAAGCGUAAUAGCUCACUGGUCGAGUCGGCCUGCGCGGAAGAUGUAACGGGGCUAAACCAUGCACCGAAGCUGCGGCAGCGACGCUUAUGCGUUGUUGGGUAGGGGAGCGUUCUGUAAGCCUGUGAAGGUGUACUGUGAGGUAUGCUGGAGGUAUCAGAAGUGCGAAUGCUGACAUAAGUAACGAUAAAGCGGGUGAAAAGCCCGCUCGCCGGAAGACCAAGGGUUCCUGUCCAACGUUAAUCGGGGCAGGGUGAGUCGACCCCUAAGGCGAGGCCGAAAGGCGUAGUCGAUGGGAAACAGGUUAAUAUUCCUGUACUUGGUGUUACUGCGAAGGGGGGACGGAGAAGGCUAUGUUGGCCGGGCGACGGUUGUCCCGGUUUAAGCGUGUAGGCUGGUUUUCCAGGCAAAUCCGGAAAAUCAAGGCUGAGGCGUGAUGACGAGGCACUACGGUGCUGAAGCAACAAAUGCCCUGCUUCCAGGAAAAGCCUCUAAGCAUCAGGUAACAUCAAAUCGUACCCCAAACCGACACAGGUGGUCAGGUAGAGAAUACCAAGGCGCUUGAGAGAACUCGGGUGAAGGAACUAGGCAAAAUGGUGCCGUAACUUCGGGAGAAGGCACGCUGAUAUGUAGGUGAAGCGACUUGCUCGUGGAGCUGAAAUCAGUCGAAGAUACCAGCUGGCUGCAACUGUUUAUUAAAAACACAGCACUGUGCAAACACGAAAGUGGACGUAUACGGUGUGACGCCUGCCCGGUGCCGGAAGGUUAAUUGAUGGGGUUAGCGGUAACGCGAAGCUCUUGAUCGAAGCCCCGGUAAACGGCGGCCGUAACUAUAACGGUCCUAAGGUAGCGAAAUUCCUUGUCGGGUAAGUUCCGACCUGCACGAAUGGCGUAAUGAUGGCCAGGCUGUCUCCACCCGAGACUCAGUGAAAUUGAACUCGCUGUGAAGAUGCAGUGUACCCGCGGCAAGACGGAAAGACCCCGUGAACCUUUACUAUAGCUUGACACUGAACAUUGAGCCUUGAUGUGUAGGAUAGGUGGGAGGCUUUGAAGUGUGGACGCCAGUCUGCAUGGAGCCGGCCUUGAAAUACCACCCUUUAAUGUUUGAUGUUCUAACGUUGGCCCCUGAUCGGGGUUGCGGACAGUGUCUGGUGGGUAGUUUGACUGGGGCGGUCUCCUCCUAAAGAGUAACGGAGGAGCACGAAGGUUGGCUAAUCCUGGUCGGACAUCAGGAGGUUAGUGCAAUGGCAUAAGCCAGCUUGACUGCGAGCGUGACGGCGCGAGCAGGUGCGAAAGCAGGUCAUAGUGAUCCGGUGGUUCUGAAUGGAAGGGCCAUCGCUCAACGGAUAAAAGGUACUCCGGGGAUAACAGGCUGAUACCGCCCAAGAGUUCAUAUCGACGGCGGUGUUUGGCACCUCGAUGUCGGCUCAUCACAUCCUGGGGCUGAAGUAGGUCCCAAGGGUAUGGCUGUUCGCCAUUUAAAGUGGUACGCGAGCUGGGUUUAGAACGUCGUGAGACAGUUCGGUCCCUAUCUGCCGUGGGCGCUGGAGAACUGAGGGGGGCUGCUCCUAGUACGAGAGGACCGGAGUGGACGCAUCACUGGUGUUCGGGUUGUCAUGCCAAUGGCACUGCCCGGUAGCUAAAUGCGGAAGAGAUAAGUGCUGAAAGCAUCUAAGCACGAAACUUGCCCCGAGAUGAGUUCUCCCUGAGACUUUAAGUCUCCUGAAGGAACGUUGAAGACGACGACGU
rnacentral:rRNA from 1 species